UUUAUAUAAUAUUUAUGAUUUACCGUCGUGACUCGUAACUUCGCCUGGGUUUUGACAUAAUUUUGAAGUUGGCGCUAAAACUAGAAAGUUAUUUGGCAACAC